rnacentral:rRNA from 1 species
GUCUUGGUGAUUCGAGCGGCCGGGUAAAACCUCUUCCCAUUUCGAACAGAGAAGUUAAAACGGCCAGCGCCCAUGGUAGUCGGGGCUUAAGCUCCGGCGAGAGUAGGCCGUCGCCAAGACA